rnacentral:tRNA from 1 species
ACUCAGUUGGUUAAGCAUCUGACUUCAGGUCAGGUCAUGAUCUCACAGUUCGUGAGUUCAAGUCUCACACUGGGUG